UACAGUCAACAGGAUUUUUGAAGCAGGAGACAAGAAAAAGGAGCAAUGCCCUCGCCGGGACUCGAACCUGGACCUUUCGAAUACGCGCCGAAUGUGCUACCCGUUACACCAUGAUGGCAUGCUGGAUGGAAGGAGAAAACACCUUAUAAUACUAUACUUCUUUGGUUAGCUUGCCUUCUUGGUGUAAUUGGAAGCAUCCUCGACGCAUAUUCGAGAGAUCCAGGGUCCGAGUCCCGAAGAGGGUCUUGCACAUUAUUCACGUCUUCUGUAAAAAAAAAAUAAUAAUAAUAAAUUUAAUGACUCUACAGUGUAACAAGCAAAAAUUUCUUGAAGGUUAAAAAACAGAAUUAAGAUUGUAUACAGAAAAUAAAUAAAAAUUUGGAUUUUUUUCCUUUGCGAUAUUAUUAUAAUCGUUUAUGUAUGUUUUAAUAAAUGUUUAGUAAACUAAAUUUUAAAUUUAUUUUAAAUUUUUUUAUUUUAUUAGUAAAGUAUUUCUCUUCGUUAUAAAGAACAUUUUUUUAGUCCGUAAACUCUUUUCAGAUGGUGCAUUUCCCAGCAUGCAAUUUGAAUUUGAAACCAUUGCUGUAUAAUACUUGCAUUUUUGGUAUCGCUUUCAGAUAAAAUGUUUUUUGGCAGAAUUUCUCAAAAAAAAAAAAAAAAAAAAAAAAAAAAAAAA